ACGGGUGAGUAACACGUAAAGAAUCUGCCCUGAAGCGGGGAAUAACUAUCCCAACGGAUAGCUAAUACCGCAUAAUGAUGGAGGAGGCAUCUCCUUUUCUCAAAAGGCUUCGGCCACUUCAGGAUGACUUUGCGUCCCAUUAGCUUGUUGGCGGUGUAACGGACCACCAAGGCGACGAUGGGUAUCCGGCCUGAGAGGGUGUACGGACACAUUGGGACUGAGAUACGGCCCAGACUCCUACGGGAGGCAGCAGUAGGGAAUUUUGCGCAAUGGAGGAAACUCUGACGCAGCAACGCCAUGUGUGGGAUGAAGCAUUUCGGUGUGUAAACCACUGUCAGCAGGGAAUAAAAGGCCUUUUAGGCAUUUGAAUGUACCUGCGAAGGAAGCCCCGGCUAACUUCGUGCCAGCAGCCGCGGUAAUACGAGGGGGGCAAAUGUUGUUCGGAAUCACUGGGCGUAAAGGGAGCGUAGGCGGGUUUUUAAGUUAGGUGUUUAAUACCGGGGCCCAACCCCGGACCGGCACUUAAAACUGGGAAUCUUGAAUAGUGGAGAGGUCAGUGAAAUUGGGGGUGUAGCGGUGGAAUGCGUAGA
rnacentral:rRNA from 1 species